CGCGGGCAGCAGCGCGCACCGUGCCGGACACGCAGUCGCGAGGGCGGGGUCCCGUGGCCGGCGGGAGCUCCGGGAUCACGGGCGCCGGCGGCAGCCGCGAGCCUCCAUCUUGAUUUCAAAUGGGGAAGGAAGGAGGGGGAGGGGGGAAAUCACGGCAGAGGGAACCCGGGUGAAAGGAAAAGGGAGAGCAGGGAAAGGAGAGAGGAAGGAAAAAAAAAAAAAAAAAAGAGGGGUUUCGGCAAUUUCCGGCGAAUAUCGUCAGGGGCCGGAGCGUGGGCUCGGCGGGUGGGCGGGGCCUAUGGUGGGCGGGGCCUGGCAGGAGAGGCGGGGCGACGCCGGGGUGCCGGUCGCCCAGAGAGCCGGCGGAUGCCUGUGGGAGCGUUCAGUCUUGCUCCUUCUCCCCGGCAGCUGCAACCCUUGGAAGGAGCAGGAGCGCUCUGACCAGCGAGGGCGGCCCUUUCCAGGCCCAGCACUGCGCCUCCCGCCGGGCGCUCGCUCGUGCUACGCGAGGCCGUCCUCGGGGCGCUUGAGCUGUUCACUGCGGCUCUCGCCCGCGGGGCCGGCUGACUCCGGCACGGGACCGGUGUGUUUCUCGUUGGCGCAGCGCGGGCGCCGGCACGUAGACGGGGCUCCAUAAUAGUUGUUGAAUAGAGAGAUCGUGAAAAUGGGUGUUGUGUACUCCAGUCCCGGAGGGAGCAGAUCAAGCCUCUGAACUCCUGGGGGACGUCUUCUCGUCUGUAAAAUGGGAUUGCGGACUCACAGCUACCCCACCAGAAUGUAGAGAAUGGGGAAGGUGAUGGUGGCUGAGGAGACCAAAGGACAUGAGGGGUAGGUGACCUCAAGCUUUAAGGAAGACCCGUGUCAAGCCAGCAUUUGACAAAUAUUCAGGUACAAACGCCUAUGACGUGGCUGCAAGCAAAGGGAGCAGAAGUUAUGGGUGUCAGAGGUUAAAGGAGCCAAUGCUGCCGAAAACAAGGAGAGAGAGAAACAAGAUUGAUUUUAAAAAAACAAUAAACAAAACUGAUGAAUACUGAUGAAACCAGAACACAUGUAUACUGCAAAUGAACAAUUGAGUAAAUAACUAGUGGGUGGUGGAUACCAGGUUUUUCACUGUUGGAGGGGGAGGCUAGAAUGAUCCCUGUGGUACGGGAUUAGAGUUGGAAACAUCAGUAUGAAUUCAUGUUUAGCUUAAUAUAGAUACAGAUGGAUAUAUAGAAAGAUUUACAGAUAUGUAUAUUUACAGGGGCUAGUACAUGUACACAUAUUUCCUUGCUCUGUCAGCUGAGUGGGCUUAGAAGUAACACUCCUGUAGCAAGAUGCACACCAGGCACUCAGAUCUUGUUAUUAACACCAUUCUUCAGUAAAAGGAACCUGGGCUCUUCAGGGGGAUGGCUGACUCUAGGACUAGGGCAGGAAAUAUACAAGAGAGCCUGGAGCAUCUUGUUGCGCCAGAAGGUAAGGAAGGGCUCAAAAAAAAAAUUUUUUUUUUAAUUAAUCAACAACCAGAACAAUGAUGGGGACACAGGAGCCAACUGAAAGAGCUCCCAGUGACCAAAGCUGUAACAGUUUGAACAGCAAAAUAAAGCAAUAUUUGAUUAUACCCAAAGUAUAAAAUAAAUAUCCAUGAGUCCAUAUUGAUAUAAUUCGAUGAUUGAAUAAGUAACUAAUUGAGAGAGAAGAGACAAAUAUCCCAUGCAGAAAAAUUCAAAAUCAUUACCUAGAUACUCUGCCCUCAAUGAGAUGGAAUAGAAAUUCCCUGUCCUUAACUAUGGGCUGCACUUAGCGACUUCCAGAGUACGAAAUGGAAAGAGGGAGGGGAGAGUAACUUUACAAUGAAGAAAACUGAUAAACACUACUUCAGCCACAUGAGCAAGGUUAACAGCAGUGAUAAAUCACAUGGAUGGUAUAUACCCUUGAUAUGACGGAAUGAAAAUGGCACUUUACCUCUGUGGUCUUCCUCCCAGAAACACAGUCUAAUUAUGAGAAAAACAUCAGAAAAAUCCCAGAUGAGAGACAGUCUACCAGUACUUCCCCAAACCACUAAGGUCAACAAAAAUAAGGAGAGUCUGGAAAACUGUCACAGCCAAGAGGAGCCCAAGGAAACAUGACAACUAAAUGUAAUGCAGUAUUCUUAGGGAUCCUGGAACCAAAAAAGGACAUUAGGUAGAAACUAAGAAAAUAUGAAUAAUACAUGGACUUUAGUUAAUAAUAAUCUACCAAUACUGAUUCAUUAAUUGUGAGUAAUAUGGGAAAAUUGGACAUGGGGUAUAUGGGAACUCUGUACUAUCUUCACAACUUUCCUGUAAAUCUGAAUCUAUUCUAAAAUAGAAGUUUAUUUUUUUUUUAAUUUUUAAUUGUAUGUAGAAUCUCAAAAAGAAAAAAUUCAGUAAGUCCAAAUUUCUCAGGUGUGCUGCCCAUGUUUCUUUUUCUUAGUUUUCUGUUGGGUAAUUUCUAUCUCCAGCUCUUAUUCCUCCUCAUGGCUUACUCCUAGUUCAGGGAAAACAAUUUCCAGGAAUUUUCUUUGUCAGUUGAGUACAUUCCCCUUCGUGCCUUCUCCCCAAGGUUGCAGCCAAUCUCCCAGAGGUAUUGGUGGCAUCACAGCAUGGGAUGGGGAUGGGGAGAUUGCAUCCAGUCCUUGGUCACUAUGGGUUCAUGCUGGCGCUGGUGCCGAUGAGUGUCCCAUGUGUGUCUGCCUCCCCAGUGCUCCUGCGACAGGCAUUGCCGUGACCUUGUCUUCUGAUGUUGCAUUCUGCUCACCCAACCCCGGGGCCCCCUCUGUAGGUCUGCUGGCAGUCAGCGCCUCUCCUGAGCUCCUCCCAAGCAGUCAGGAAGACAUUCAGCUGCUCACUGGGCUGCUCAGUCCCACCCCCUCCCACCCCACCCCAGAAAGUGAGGCCAAAUUCUCUCUGCUCCCAGAUCCCUCAAGUCCACCUGGGCACAGACUUCCUUUCUCAGAGAUUCACAUCAGGGUCUAAUGCUAUCCAUUUCCUCUCCCACAAAUUGCAGAAUUAUUAUUUCCUCUGCAGGAAGAAAACUUCUCUCCAGGUUUGACAUGCUUUCUUCAAAAUCUUUUCUUUGGGACAUAACCUUUGUGUUCUUAGGAGACUCCGUUUUAAAUUUAUAAACGCUUUCCCUCCAAUUCUUCCCUCUGCCAUAGGUUCCAGAAGUGUCUCUUGAAAUUCAGAAGCCAAGUGUCGACUUCUUUCUUUCCCUCUGCCUCCCUCCCAUAGUAUCCUGUCCUGCAGGUAGUGAAUACAAAUCCCCCCUCUGUUGCCUAAAUGGUGGAGAAAGUUCAAAAAUUUGAAAAUAUCAGAACUGCUGGGGGGCAGGGGGCAAACUGGAUGUCAUUCAGUCACAGAAAGAUCAGCAAUCCCUUAGUGGUGGUACUUGGGAAGUGUCAAUUGGAAAAAGCUAACUCCUGCUGGAGGGUUCUUGGGUGGAGGCAAGUUCUAGAUGUUGGGAGUUGGCCUGAAAGGGAACGUUGACUGCAUGGUAAUGACUGCUAAGGGUGUUGGGAUCAGAGUGGAAUGACUGGUGUGUGUUUGGACAAAAAGAACUCUCUAGUGUUGAGACCCAGAUAUUGACCAAUUCUUCUGUCUCAGGUAGAGUCAUUUCCAAGAAAUCUCAAUAGAAGACUUUGUGUCUGAGUGUGGGACGUGCGGGAAGGCUCACCCAGACUGCAAUAAGAGAAAGAGGCUGCACACAGGGUUUUUUUUACCUUCUGCCAUCUGAGCAUGUGUAGGGGGAUCUAAACAGGGUUUCAUGACAGCUGCUGUUGAUCCUGCCCCACUUUCAAAAUUCAGCUCGAAUUUCAUCCCCUUUCGUGAAGCUGCUACAGUACAUUAACUCGAAUUGACCUCUCCCUUCUCUGUAUUCUGGAGUACCACUCGUUCUGGCAUUUGAUCGUGUACUGCAUUAUAUUAUUUGCAUCCUUUGCGUUUAAUGUCUUGCCGACAAGAUGGGGAGAUCCCUUGCAGUCAGCACACAAGCAUCAGCCUGUCUCCUGUGUGCCUAGAUCUAUACCAGUCCCCAAGCCAUGGGGCAAAAGAAAUGGAGAAAGCCAGUUGGGGGACACAGGAACACAGACAAAAUACUGGAGGUGAAGAGGCCAUCGUGUGACUGCAAGAAGCAACCCUAAAGAUGGAGGAGAGUGAAGAGGCGGGUGAAAGUUGUAUCACUGGAGAUCAUGGAGAGGAACCGAAGCGGCCACCAUGAGAUGAACUUCAAAAAGCUGCCAGCUUUUUCUUAGAAAUGCGUGUGAAUUUUUCCUUCUCCUUACACAUCUAUAUUUAUUUUAAUAUAUAAACAAUGUCUUAACUCA